UACGUAGGGGGCAAGCGUUGUCCGGAAUCAUUGGGCGUAAAGCGCGUGUAGGCGGCCAGGUAAGUCCGUUCUGAAAGCCCGGGGCUCAACCCCGGGAGGCGGAUGGAUACUGCUUGGCUCGAGUCCGGAAGAGGCGAGUGGAAUUCCCGGUGUAGCGGUGAAAUGCGCAGAUAUCGGGAGGAACACCGAUGGCGAAGGCAGCUCGCUGGGACGGUACUGACGCUGAGACGCGAAAGCGUGGGGAGCAAACAGG
rnacentral:rRNA from 1 species